rnacentral:rRNA from 1 species
GUGGGGAAUAUUGGACAAUGGGCGCAAGCCUGAUCCAGCAAUGCCGCGUGGGUGAAGAAGGUCUUCGGAUUGUAAAGCCCUUUCGACGGGGACGAUGAUGACGGUACCCGUAGAAGAAGCCCCGGCUAACUUCGUGCCAGCAGCCGCGGUAAUACGAAGGGGGCUAGCGUUGCUCGGAAUUACUGGGCGUAAAGGGCGCGUAGGCGGCCCUGCAAGUCAGGCGUGAAAUUCCCGGGCUCAACCUGGGGGCUGCGCUUGAGACUGCGGGGCUAGAGGCCGAGAGAGGGUGGUGGAAUUCCCAGUGUAGAGGUGAAAUUCGUAGAUAUUGGGAAGAACACCGGUGGCGAAGGCGGCCACCUGGCUCGGUACUGACGCUGAGGCGCGACAGCGUGGGGAGCAAACAGGAUUAGAAACCCCAGUAGUCC